GCGAGUUGAUGCCCUAACGGGUAGAUCUCCCACCCUUGAAUAACAUACCUUUGUUGCUUUGGCGGUUGCGUCUUUGUGACGUCCGCCAGAGAACCCCAAACUCUGAAUUACAGUGUCGUCUGAGUACUAUAUAAUAGUUA
rnacentral:misc_RNA from 1 species